rnacentral:misc_RNA from 1 species
UCCUGUGUUGGUUGCCUAAUGUGACGGAAAUUGACCCUGGAUGAAGUSCUAGUUCUUGCCUCUCACUAAUUCGUGGUGUUAGGUUGACAUGGAAGUACUGCCCGUUCUCCUUGAAUGCUUCGCCCUUUCGCGUUGCAAUCAUGGCCCAUGGGUUGCUACUCGUUCCCUCGGAUGCAGAACUUUUGAAGGGUUCACAGCAUGUUGCUGUUGCUUACCCACAAAGCGUUCAUGUCUCGAUGCAUACGACUGCUGUGCCCGCCUUGGUCCUGUCUUUAACUYGUUUGGACAGGUCUCAUGCGGUGCCGGCGUCGCGAAGGAAUGCUACCUGGUUGAUCCUGCCAGUAGUCAUAUGCUUGUCUCAA